rnacentral:ncRNA from 1 species
CUUUGGGUCUUCGCUUUGCGAAGGGAAGAGGGAAGCGGGUGAAAUUCCCGCACGGUCCCGCCGCUGUGUGGUGGAGCCUCCGGCAAUGGGCCACUGGUUUACGGGAAGGCUGUCGGAGGCGAGGAAGCCAAGUCAGAAUACCUGCCCAAA